rnacentral:rRNA from 1 species
UACGAAGGGGGCUAGCGUUGCUCGGAAUCACUGGGCGUAAAGCGCGCGUAGGCGGAUCGUUAAGUCGGGGGUGAAAUCCUGGAGCUCAACUCCAGAACUGCCUUUGAUACUGGCGAUCUUGAGUCCGGGAGAGGUGAGUGGAACUCCGAGUGUAGAGGUGAAAUUCGUAGAUAUUCGGAAGAACACCAGUGGCGAAGGCGACUACUGGACUG